CCUACGGGAGGCUGCAGUGGGGAAUAUUGGACAAUGGGGGCAACCCUGAUCCAGCCAUGCCGCGUGUGUGAAGAAGGCCCUCGGGUUGUAAAGCACUUUCAGUGAGGAAGAACGCCUGGUGGUUAAUACCCAUCAGGAAAGACAUCACUCACAGAAGAAGCACCGGCUAACUCCGUGCCAGCAGCCGCGGUAAUACGGAGGGUGCGAGCGUUAAUCGGAAUUACUGGGCGUAAAGCGCGCGUAGGUGGCUUGAUAAGCCGGUUGUGAAAGCCCCGGGCUCAACCUGGGAACGGCAUCCGGAACUGUCAAGCUAGAGUGCAGGAGAGGAAGGUAGAAUUCCCGGUGUAGCGGUGAAAUGCGUAGAGAUCGGGAGGAAUACCAGUGGCGAAGGCGGCCUUCUGGACUGACACUGACACUGAGGUGCGAAAGCGUGGGUAGCAAACAGGAUUAGAUACCCUUGUAGUA
rnacentral:rRNA from 1 species